UAAUGAUUUUUCUGUUAAAAUAAUAAAAAUAAUAAAAAGAAACAUCGUCCUCUGAUUGGUAUAAGAUUCUUGAUACCACCAUCAGAUUGGCUGUCGAUGAUAUCAUAAAUUAAGUUUUCUCACCAAUCACAGAUUUCUACGCAGUAGAAUCAGUAGGGAGCCUCCGCGCUAUAGUAUAAAUAGAGGCUACCAACGCGCAUUAGGUAAAGUAUUUGUGCACCCUUCGGGCCAGUGACGACCGAAUCCAGCCUGCCGAUCGUGGAACGUGAGCAGCUUCGCCGAACGACCUAGCCGAUCGAGAGCUGCUGUGCAUACGCUGGUAGGCGUCCGUCCGAUCAGCAACGACCAACUGGUGCCUGUGAAUGCCUGAUCUCUGCAAUUCUCAUUGCAUGAGAAAUCAGAAGAGAGUUAUCAGAAUGUUUUCCCUAUCGCCGGUCCAGAGCGAUGUUGGUCCACCGAAGGGAACUUUGUGGCUAUCACGGAUCCGCAGACCGACCGCUUACGGGCGGUCGGUUUUUUUUUGUACGCCACCGAUGCAGAUACGCAAGCAAGAAGAGUGCACUGUGAAAAAUGCACGAAGAAAAAUGCGCGAGUUAGGUCUAGGUUUUUCAAAUUAAUAAAUUUGUGCAAAUGUUAAUCAAAAUGCAUAAGCCUAGAAAAUUAUAUGUAGUGAUUGUGAGAACACUAAUUGUGAUAAAGAUUUCUUUGUGUUUUUGAUUA